AUUGAACGCUAGCGGGAUGCUUUACACAUGCAAGUCGAACGAGUGGCGGACGUGUGAGUAAUAUAUCGGAACGUGUCCAGUAGCGGGGGAUAACUACUCGAAAGAGUUGCUAAUACCGCCUACUCUUGGAGCGGCCGCUAUCGGAUUAGCUAGUUGGUGGGGUAAAGUCCCACCAAGGCAACGAUCCGUAGCUGGUUUGAGAGGACGACGAGUCACACUGGGACUGAGACACGGCCCAGACGCCUACGGGAGGCAGCAGUGGGGAAUUUUGGGCAAUGGGGGAAACCCUGAUCCAGCCAUCCCGCGUGUAUGAGAAGGCCUUCGGGUUGUAAAGUACUUUUGGCAGAGAAGCGGUAUCUGAAGAAUAAGCACCGGCUAACUACGUGCCAGCAGCCGCGGUAAUUC
rnacentral:rRNA from 1 species